CCUGGUGGCUUUGGCGGAGGGGCAACGCCUGUUCCCAUUCCGAACACAGUAGCUAAGUCCUCCAGCGCCGAUGGUACUGGCAACGGGAGAGUAGGUCGCCGCCAGGA
rnacentral:rRNA from 1 species